rnacentral:rRNA from 1 species
AGUGAACGCUGGCGGUAGGCCUAACACAUGCAAGUCGAACGGCAGCACAGUAAGAGCUUGCUCUUACGGGUGGCGAGUGGCGGACGGGUGAGGAAUACAUCGGAAUCUACUUUUUCGUGGGGGAUAACGUAGGGAAACUUACGCUAAUACCGCAUACGACCUACGGGGGAAAGCAGGGGAUCUUCGGACCUUGCGCGAUUGAAUGAGCCGAUGUCGGAUUAGCUAGUUGGCGGGGUAAAGGCCCACCAAGGCGACGAUCCGUAGCUGGUCUGAGAGGAUGAUCAGCCACACUGGAACUGAGACACGGUCCAGACUCCUACGGGAGGCAGCAGUGGGGAAUAUUGGACAAUGGGCGCAAGCCUGAUCCAGCCACACCGCGUGGGUGAAGAAGGCCUUCGGGUUGUAAAGCCCUUUUGUUGGGAAAGAAAAGCAGCAGGUUAAUACCCCGCUGUUCUGACGGUACCCAAAGAAUAAGCACCGGCUAACUUCGUG